rnacentral:tRNA from 1 species
GGGGCUAUAGCUCAGCUGGGAGAGCGCCUACCUUGCACGCAGGAGGUCAGCGGUUCGAUCCCGCUUAGCUCCA